rnacentral:rRNA from 1 species
AAUGAACGCUGGCGGCGUGCUUAACACAUGCAAGUCGUACGAGAAAUCUUCUGCUUGCAGGAGAGAGUAAAGUGGCGUACGGGUGAGUAAUGCGUGGGUAAUCUACCUUUGAAUUCGGGAUAACAUGUCGAAAGGUGUGCUAAUACCGGAUGAAGUCCAUGUAGUAAUGACUGUAUGGAUGAAAGAUGGCCUCUACAUGUAAGCUAUUGUUUGGGGAUGAGCCUGCGUACCAUUAGCUAGUUGGUGGGGUAAGAGCCUACCAAGGCGACGAUGGUUAGCUGGUCUGAGAGGAUGAUCAGCCACACUGGAACUGGAACACGGUCCAGACUCCUACGGGAGGCUG